AUGUGCAUGUGCAUGUGCAUGUGCAUGUGCAUGUGCAUGUAAUGUGCAUGCACAUGUGCAUGUGCAUGUGCAUGUGCAUGUGCAUGUGCAU